AGGAGGGGAUAUAUCCUAUAUCCUGUGGUUUUCUUCCUCUGUUCUUUUGCAUUGUUUUAUUUGCAUUGUUCACAUGCACAAGGAGCAUAAGGAAUUGCAUUAAUAUGGUUCUGCUCAGAAGAAUGGUGUAAUGCCAAAAGAGGAAAUUUCACUACAGAACAGAACAUAGACAGAGAAAACAAGAGAGGGAAUUAAAGUUCCUGACUCUGCACCCCACUGUGCAGCCAACUUGAAAGAGGACCAGACUCCUGCAGGAGCCACGGGGGCAACAGAUCCCUGAGCUACGCUGCUGAGAGGACACCAAAAAGGCUCCUCGGUGUACAACUCCUGACACCAGAUCUGCUUAGGCGCCUCAUUUCUCUCCAGUGCGUCGGGCGAACUCGAACUCAAACUCAAACAAUGACCAGCGUCAACUCUCCAGCAUGUCUCGCUGCACUCAACCACUACAGAAACCUCAGCCCAACAACAAUGAAACCUGUCAGUGGUCUUUCUCACCCAAAACAAAGACAAGUGACAGUCUGGGUGACCACAUCCACAUAUCAAGGUUUGCCAGUACUGAUGGCCAGAGGAUGGUGGGUCAGUGUGGUGUUAGGUAACCCCUCUCCUCCCUCACCUAUUUCGAAACACCAGAGCCCAGCUGGCAGGGUGGUGAAGUAGCCCCCUACCCACACACACAGGCCAACCAGAGGAAGUGCUCUCCACUAUGCACCAUAGUGGGGAUCUGUAUGAGCAAUGUGAUUUGUGUUCUGCGCUGUACCUCUCUUGCUUCACACAGACAAUGCAAAGAACCCUAUGCACCCUUUCACAAGUGGAGGACAAGGUAAAAAAUCCAUGGAAAAGAGGAACUGCUACUCCCCCCCAGGGAUCUCGUUCUAGCUCUUACUUUCCCUCCUUUGAAAUUCCAGACCUUAGACUAGCUCCUUCCGCCGUGCACAAUGCAGCAAAGAAAAAGUACAUUUGCUUUUUCCCUUGGACUGUUGCCAUGGUGUAGCUGGGAGGAUUUCCAUGCAGGCGUCCAAUCAGAGCUGCUGCAGCCCUAAGAGGGCCUCUCUCUCCCCUUCCUUGGACCUGUUGCUGGGCUGAGGAGGGGCCAGUGGAGCAGAAAAUACACAGAGUCAGCACUGUGAGGCGGCCAUGCCAUCCCCUCUGCCGAGUAGUGACCUGAAAAAACUGCACUUAAAGCACAUUUAAUUUUGAAAUGACUCAUUUCAAAAUCCUGGGACGAACUCAUUGCCCUCUUUGUUCUUUGUUUACAUACCUCAGUUUUUUUUUUUAUGCUUGUGUUUGUUCUGUCUGCAAUGACUGAGUGCUAGCCCCACUCGUUUAUAUGAGAAAUUCCAUUUCAUUGCCCCGUGCAAUAAUACUGACUUUCAGUUAGAGGUCCAUUCAUGACCUGAGUUCUGUUGCCAUUUCUGUGUAUUUCAUGUUGAAACUUUUUUUCCUUUGACACAGUGAAUUAACACCACAGUAACUAAGAUUAGCAAUUAAUAGGGUGAUGCUUUCUUAGACUCUUGUUUGCAUACUUUAGAUUAGCCAAAAAUAAACUUCAUUUCCUUCAUGCCUAUAACAUCUCUUGACUGACAAUGAAUGAAUAA